rnacentral:rRNA from 1 species
CCUACGGGAGGCAGCAGUAGGGAAUCUUCCACAAUGGACGAAAGUCUGAUGGAGCAACGCCGCGUGAGCGAUGAAGGCCUUCGGGUCGUAAAGCUCUGUUGUUAGGGAAGAACAAGUACAAGAGUAACUGCUUGUACCUUGACGGUACCUAACCAGAAAGCCACGGCUAACUACGUGCCAGCAGCCGCGGUAAUACGUAGGUGGCAAGCGUUAUCCGGAAUUAUUGGGCGUAAAGCGCGCGCAGGCGGUUUCUUAAGUCUGAUGUGAAAGCCCCCGGCUCAACCGGGGAGGGUCAUUGGAAACUGGGGAACUUGAGUGCAGAAGAGGAGAGCGGAAUUCCACGUGUAGCGGUGAAAUGCGUAGAGAUUUGGAGGAACACCAGUGGCGAAGGCGACUUUCUGGUCUGUAACUGACGCUGAGGCGCGAAAGCGUGGGGAGCAAACAGGAUUAGAUACCCUGGUAGUCCACGCUGUAAACGAUGAGUGCUAAGUGUUAGAGGGUUUCCGCCCUUUAGUGCUGCAGCUAACGCAUUAAGCACUCCGCCUGGGGAGUACGGCCGCAAGGCUGAAACUCAAAGGAAUUGACGG